rnacentral:lncRNA from 1 species
GUCACCGAACGAGGGGCAGGAGCGGCACAACACACCGCUUAAUUCAGCAUACGGGGCAGAUAUUCGUCCUACCUUCUCACGAUGGUCCGGCACCGACAGCCCCACGGCACCGACAGCCCCACGGCACCGACAGCCCCAUCGCGCCGACAGCCCCACGGCACCGACAGUCCCAUCGCGCCGACAGCCCCACGGCACCGACAGCCCCACGGCACCGACAGCCCCACGGUACCGACAGCCCCACGGUACCGACAGCCCCACGGCACCGACAGCCCCACGGCACCGACAGCCCCAUCGCGCCGACAGCCCCACGGCACUGACAGCCCCUCGGCACCUACAGCCCCACGGCACCGACAGCCCCACGGCACCGACAGCCCCCGGCCCCGCUGCGCGCAGCUCUCCCGCCGCAGCGCCGCUUCCGAGCAGCCCAUCCCGCAUCCCAUCCCAUCCCAUCCCAUCCCAUCCCGCAUCCCAUCCCAUCCCGCAUCCCAUCCCGCAUCCCAUCCCGCAUCCCAUCCCAUCCCGCAUCACCCAUCCAUCCCGAUCAUGCCGCAUCCCAUUCCCGCAUCUCCAUCCGCAUUCCAUCCAUCGUCAUUCCUCCGGCCAUCCCAUAGCCACAUCCCCAGCAUCCCUAUCCCGCAUCCAUCCCGCAUCCAUCACCGCAUCGCAUCCCAUCCCGCAUCCCAUCCCGCAUCCCAUCCCAUAUCCCAUCCCAUCCCGCAAUCCAUCCCAUCCCAUCCCAUCCCGCAAUCCAUCCCCCCCAUCCCGCUCCGUGCCUCUCCCCGGGCCGCCCUCGCCCCGCCCCGCCUCCCGUUCCCGCAGCCCCUCCAGGCCGCGGCCGACGCUCCUGCCCGCUGCGCUGUUCCCGGGCGGCGCCCCCGCCCGCCGCGGGCUGUUCCGCUGCUGCGCCCCCUCCCCCCGUCGCAGAGCUCCGGACCCAAGAUGGCCGCCGUGUCAGUUUCGGGCUUCGCCGCCGUUCGGCCUUUGCUUCUCGGUUCCCGUCUCUCUCAGUCUUCGGUGUAA